CGCACACAGGCCCUCCCGAGCUGUUGCCCGAGGCCCAGCCAAUGAGCCUCGCCUUCAUUAGCAUACGAGUGACGGCAUGGGGGUGCCUUGGGGACAGCCAAUGGGGGCGAGCUCAUUAGCGGAUUCAGGGGUUCCAGACCCUUCUCUGGAAAAGCGGGUGCGGGGCGCGGGGACUGUUGUGAGGUGCCCGGAGCUCCUGUGCUUUGGUUGCCUUCAGCUCGGGUGGGCGGGAGGAAAACAUGCACCUUCCAGGAAAGGGAAUCCCCGCUCCCAGCCCCAGGAAAGUCCCUCCCCCCACCACAUUCUGAAAGAGGAGAGGUGUUUCCCUGAUCUCCAGGCGCGAAUGCAGGGCCACCUUAAGCCUCCACUGAAGAUAAGCAUUCAGAUGCGUAGGAAAGCCCGCUGCAACCCAGGUACAAUGCGCUUGAAGACUUGUUAA
rnacentral:lncRNA from 1 species